ACUACUUUAACCCUGCUACAUGUUUUUCAUUUUUACUUGAAGUUUUGCAACCAUUAACAUAUAAAAAUGUGGUCUAUUAAAAGGUCUUCUUGUUUUCUUUGCACUGUUGCAAUAGUUUUAAUCAUAGCAAGCCGGUGUAAUUUUCCUAUAGGUUGUAAAAUUGACAAGCAUAUCAUGCCUUUGUAAUAAUAAACAAUAAAUGAGUUAAAUGUUUUCUUCUGGGGUUUUUUUUUACUUUGCUACUAUCGAGUACUUAAGAUUAUUGAAAUGUUCUAUGCCACGCCUGAUAAGUUUUCUAAUCCAUUAACGACACAUCCAGUUUAACGACACAUUUCGUACUUUCCCGUACCAAUUUUUCAGAAAUAUGACAAGGCACCUAAUUUCUAUUUGGAUGCUAGCAACAAUUACAAACAUUGUACAGGCUUUUGCAGGAUGUAAUCCAGGUUGUGCGGGGUUUGGAAAUUGCUGUCCACAACACUAGUCGUCAUUGAAAAUUUAUUUGUUGACGGUUGAUUUAUUGUAUGUAAUAUACAAAACAGGCAUUAUGUAUAAUGUGAUGUUAAAAAUAAAUAAAUAAAUUUAUUUUAAUGUGACAAACAAAA